rnacentral:rRNA from 1 species
UAACACGUAGGGGCCGAGCGUUGUCCGGAGUUACUGGGCGUAAAGCGCGCGCAGGCGGUCUGCUGCAUCGGUGGUGAAAGCCCCGGGCUUAACCCGGGAGGGUCCAUCGAGAUGGGCAGACUGGAGGCAGGGCGAGGGCGGUGGAAUUCCGGGUGUAGUGGUGAAAUGCGUAGAGAUCCGGAGGAACACCAGUGGCGAAGGCGGCCGCCUGGACCUGUCCUGACGCUGAGGCGCGAAGGCGUGGGGAGCGAACGGGAUUAGAUACCCCGGUAGUCCACGCAGUAAACGAUGGGCACUGGGUGUGGCGGGAGUUGACCCCUGCCGUGCCGGAGUUAACACGGUAAGUGCCCCGCCUGGGGAGUACGGCCGCAAGGCUA